GGCUGGUAUAGCUCAGCUGGUGGAGCCUUAGACUCUUAAUCUCAGAGUUGUGGGUUUGAGCCUUACAAAAGAUGCCUCCA